UACGGGGGGGGCAAGCGUUGUUCGGAAUUAUUGGGCGUAAAGGGCUCGUAGGCGGUUUGUCGCGUCGGGAGUGAAAACCAUGGGCUUAACUCAUGGCUUGCUUCCGAUACGGGCAGACUAGAGGUAUGCAGGGGAGAACGGAAUUCCUGGUGUAGCGGUGAAAUGCGCAGAUAUCAGGAGGAACACCGGUGGCGAAGGCGGUUCUCUGGGCAUUACCUGACGCUGAGGAGCGAAAGUGUGGGGAGCGAACAGG
rnacentral:rRNA from 1 species